AAACUAUUAAACAAAGGUUAGUCAUUUUCUUUGUUAAAGGGGAAUUAAACAAAUUGUCUUCGGUCACAUAAAGCUAUCAAUAAUAAUGCUUCACUUUUGUUGGACUGAAAAAUAUCUUGAUCUUCAGUUCAAUAUGAGACACAAGGCUGGUUUUAUUGUGACAGAUUUUUUUCCUAAAUUAAAGAUGCCACUGACAUCUCACUAUAGAAAACUGAAGAUUUGCUGUGAAACAGUUUUUAACGGAUACAAAUUAUCAAUAUUAAACCCUCUGUAGCAGGAAAAAAAAGUGACUUUAGCCCAGCUUUAUAUUGAGCAUAUUGUGUAAUAGCUGCACUGCUGGUUCCCGUCAUACACUGCUUUAUUUUUUUUUUUGUUGUGAAGAUUAAGGUUGAAAUCAGGUCAGGUCAAAUGGAAAAAAGGCGUUUACAUGUAUAGCGUUUAUUAAGCUACUUUGAUGAAGUUGAAAAGAGAAAAUUGAAAAGUUAGUUUUGGAUAUUAUAUUGAUUGUGAAGAGUCUGAGGAUUAAGGGAAAUUUAAGGAUGAGUUAAAAAGGUGUUUGAAAUAGUGUUUUAUACUGGGAAAAUUUGAUUUGCAUCUCUUUGUUUUGAAUAAGAAAAGUUUAUUUUUGAUAAUGAUUAUAACUCAGCACCUGGUCAUUGGUGAAGAAAAUUUUUAAAACCAUUGUUUCUGUGACACAUGAUUCUAAAAUGGCUUAUUAGUACAAAAUCUUAAGUAAGGAUUUCAAAUGAAGUAAUAUUUAGAGAGAUUUAAUGGAAAAUAGUAUUGGAAGUUUAAAAUAUAGUUGAUCAAACUGAUUUGUUUUGUUCUAAGUUGUUGUAUAAUUAGAACAGGUAUUGGAAAAAAUUAUCAUGAAUAUUUAUUGGAAAUGAAACUUUUCUAAAAAUAGAAUUAUAUUAAUAGAAAGAUAAUUUUCAAUGAAUUUAUUCUUAAAUAACGCGAAAAAAAUCAGCAAAAAAAUGGAGAGUUUAAAUCAGAUAUGAAAGAAUUGAAUGAACUCGGAAUUCCAAACCUAACAGAGUUGCAGAAAUGUUGAGAAUGAAAAAAUACUAGAAAAAGAUCUCAACAAAUUAUUCAACAGCAGAUUGCCGUGUAGCAUGUAGUGAUGUAUAAUAUUGAUUAAAAGAUGCAACUUUCUGUUACACCGAUCAAUUUCCCCGAUAUUUACUCUGCUUGUAUGACUUUUAAAUUGUAAAGAAAUAUAAAAAAAUGUUAAAGUAACUAGUCAAGUAGUUGUAUCUAUUACAUAUUAUUAUACUAGUCCGCCUAUUUGGUCACGUGUUAGCUUUUUAUCACAGAGACUUGGCGGCCAUGUUGGAUUUAGCAUGUGUUGAAGGGUAGUAGUUCUGAUCAGACCGAGUAAAACUAUCAGUGGCUUUCGUAUGUAUGCAAAAAAAUUUGGAUGGAUGGGCGAGCGCACUCGAAAAAGUCCAGUCUUUGCAAGACUAGGGUUAGGUCGAGGUGUAUUCUGUUAAAAGUGCGUAGUAAAAGGGGUUUUUCUUCGAGAAUGUAGGAGAGAUUUAGAAUGUAUUAAGGUUUUCUGUGACGGAUUUAGCUGUGCGAAGGUCAAAAUGCAGCCUCAAUAGGAAGGAAUUUACUAUUCUUAUGGUAAGUUACGUUUCUUUCGAAUGUGUUUGUUAAAUCAUCUGGGUAGUGAAAGUUAAAUCGUUGUCAGAAAAGUAAAUUUUUGGUGUAAAGUGAUGAAAGGAAAAAGCCCUUUUCCUCUUGAACAGUAGGUUUAAGAUUAUAUAUUCACAGUGAACAAAGGUAUUUUCUGCUAUGCUUGUUAUAUUUCAUACACUGCACACUAAAUUGUUUAACGGAUUUGUUACGAAGUAUAUGCAUAGUGUAAAUGCUUGGUCUGAACUGCUUUAGCUACAUUUUUUACCCGACAUUUUUUUUGAUACAACACUUGUGUAAUCAUUGGAUAAGCGUAUAUGAGGAGCAAUAGAGGGAAAUGUCUAGACUUAACACUAGCACAUGGCCAACGCUCACCAUAUUUUGUGUCAUUGUGAGCUAUGGCAUACACAAACUGCUACCAUCUCUGUUUAAAUCCGUUUGGAGCAUAAGUACAGGUUUAGGUCCAUUUUCAAGCUUCUGUUUCCCAUCACUUGGUGCAUACCCAGGUUUCUUUGAUAAAUUUUAUGCUAAUUUCUAUGUCAUGCAAUCUUAUAUAGGAAAUGAAGGAAAACGGAUUGUAACUUAUGUAGUCUUGCCGACAUUAAACAUUCAGUAGUUUAAAUAGAUAAUUUUCAGUUGAUAUAUUUUGUGGGAUAUGAAACCAUUAGUUUAAAACAUUUAAUAAUUUAGUGUAGGGAAAAAAAAAAGUAGAUUGUAUGUUGCUGUUGUAUAACAUUCAUUAUAUGCGCGAUUUAGCAGAUAUAAAAAGGCGGGCUCUCGAGGUGCAUGUACGUAAGGAAAAUGGCGGAUUCCGGUACAGUUGUAAGCACAUGUAGUAAAAUGUUUUGUCUAGGAAUGCAGUUUAAAUCGUCACGGCAUCUUGAUUGCUAGACUGUAACAAAGUUUAUGCAAUUUGCCUCCUGAGGCAUACAAUUUCAUUGAAAUUUAAUGCAGAUGUAUACUGUUUGGUGUAUGCAUUUGUUAAUAGUUGAAAGUUAGAUGUAUGUGAUUUGUCGGCCAUGUUUGCGCGCGUGAUCAAGGUCGAGAAGGGGGCGCAAUUAAUGAAUAAACCUUAAGUUUUUGUAUUGUAACGAGUUAUGUUUGUAAGUUUUCAUGAAAUUUAAGAAUAAAUUAAUGAAUAAGAAAAUUGUAAAAAGUGCAUAUGAAUGUAGAUGCGCCGCGCAUGCGCGCAUAAGCGCGUAAGUUUGUCUAUGUCAGACAUAUGCGCAAUCGAUGGUAACCGCCAAAACGUGGUUUUAAAGGAUAUGAGGUUGCGCUGGGGAUGUCUAGUGAAAUAUCAUGGAGUGAUUAUGCGUGUCUAGUUUUAGAUGUCUCGAGAUAGGUGCGUAUUACACUGACAGUGCUGUAUUAUAUACAGUGACUUUUUUGUUUUUGACAAAAUAAAAUAUCCUGCAUAGUAGUCUUGGUAUUUGAUCGUGAUUACAUAAAUGUUGCAUGUCGUUAACUUAGCAUAUCUUUUGUCAGUCUAAGUGCAGAGAUUUUUAUUAGAUACGGUUUAUUUAUUGGGAACUAUUUUUUUGCGCGGAUGUGCAUACUUUGUUUAAAAAAGCAGUGGGAAAGGGUGUAACAAGGGGCACAAUCUGUCUGACCUGCUAUAGCUACUGCAUGUUUAAACCAUGCCGUGUUAUACAUGAUACCUUGAUAUGCUUUUGAAUUUGGUUUAAAAAAUAUUCUGAAUACGAAAUGUCUGGAUUAUUAUACGUGCACAUGUGUAACUCUUAACUUGAUUUAUUCAAAAUUUAUGAUACUUCUGGAUUUAUAAAGUUUACCAAGUUUAAAUGCGGAUUUGAAUUUAUAUUGUAAGAUUAUAGAUUGUGCAUGUGGAUAUUAAUAUAAUAUUUGAAUAAAUAAAUAAUGUGAUGUAGAAUUGUGUGAAAACAAAAAGAUUGUCGUUUGCCAGUUCGGUGCUCCUUAUUUCAUUCAAUAUGGUAAGAAAAAUUUUGGUAAUUGUAAAUUUUGGAGCUAUUAGGAAAGCAGUUUUUUUAUACGAUUUUGUGGAUUUAAACAAAACCAAGUGCAGUGCUUGAUCUUGUGAUUUAAAAAAAAAAAAAAUUGUGAUAGCGUCUUAAGAUGUGCGCCAUCUUGGAUAUGUUAUCAAGGUUUAACGAUGGCGUGAUGUACACGAAACUUGAAAAGAUUAGAAAUGGCUGCUAGUGGAAAGGAUGGAGCACGGGUGCCAGUGAAACUUUAUUGUAUAAAGAAAAGAAUAAUUGCCCUGAUCUAUGUAAGUAUAAAACUUUUAUCUCUCUUUGGCAAAGCAAGAACUUUCUAAAUAAAACAACAUA